AACGAACGCUGGCGGCAGGCUUAACACAUGCAAGUCGAGCGCCCCGCAAGGGGAGCGGCAGACGGGUGAGUAACGCGUGGGAAUCUACCCAUCUCUACGGAAUAACGCAUGGAAACGUGUGCUAAUACCGUAUACGUCCUUCGGGAGAAAGAUUUAUCGGAGAUGGAUGAACCCGCGUUGGAUUAGCUAGUUGGUGGGGUAAAGGCCUACCAAGGCGACGAUCCAUAGCUGGUCUGAAAGGAUGAUCAGCCACACUGGGACUGAGACACGGCCCAGACUCCUACGGGAGGCAGCAGUGGGGAAUAUUGGACAAUGGGCGCAAGCCUGAUCCAGCCAUGCCGCGUGAGUGAUGAAGGCCCUAGGGUUGUAAAGCUCUUUCACCGGUGAAGAUAAUGACGGUAACCGGAGAAGAAGCCCCGGCUAACUUCGUGCCAGCCGCCGCCGUAAUAC
rnacentral:rRNA from 1 species